rnacentral:rRNA from 1 species
UGUCGCUGGCUUCGGCAUGUGCACGUCCUUUUCUCGCCUCACCCCACACUUGUGCACCUUCUGUAGGCCCUCGAAAGAGGGUCUACGUCUUCCAUUCACACCGAUCGCAUGUCCAUAGAAUGUCAUAAUUAAAUACAACUUUCAGCAACGGAUCUCUUGGCUCUCGCAUCGAUGAAGAACGCAGCGAAUUGCGAUAAGUAAUGUGAAUUGCAGAUUUCCAGUGAAUCAUCGAAUCUUUGAACGCACCUUGCGCUCCUUGGCAUUCCGAGGAGCAUGCCUGUUUGAGUGUCAUCGAAUUCUCAACCAUGUCUUACAUGGCUUGGACGUUUGGGGGUCUGCUGGCAACAUCGUCAGCUCUCCUGAAAUGCAUUAGCAAAAUGGUAGACAUACACGGCCUUCCGACGUGAUAAUGAUCGUCGCGGCUGGAGUGUCGGACGCCUGUGUUUGCUUACUGUAGCGUGCUUAGCUACUAGUCGGUCGUGAGGCUGGCGAACGCGGCACGACAUUUGACGACUUGACCUCAAAUCAGGUAGGACUACCCGCUGAACUUAAGCAUAUCAAUAAGCGGAGGAAAAGAAACUAACAAGGAUUCCCCUAGUAACUG